rnacentral:rRNA from 1 species
GUGCCAGCCGCCGCGGUAAUACGUAGGUUGCAAGCGUUGUCCGGAAUUAUUGGGCGUAAAACGCGCGCAGGCGGUCCUUUAAGUCUGAUGUGAAAGCCCUCGGCUCAACCGAGGAAGGUCAUUGGAAACUGGAGGACUUGAGUUCAGAAGAGGAAAGUGGAAUUCCAAGUGUAGCGGUGAAAUGCGUAGAGAUUUGGAGGAACACCAGUGGCGAAGGCGACUUUCUGGUCUGUAACUGACGCUGAGGCGCGAAAGCGUGGGGAGCAAACAGGAUUAGAUACCCUGGUAGUCCACGCCGUAAACGAUGAGUGCUAAGUGUUAGGGGGUUUCCGCCCCUUAGUGCUGCAGCUAACGCAUUAAGCACUCCGCCUGGGGAGUACGGUCGCAAGACUGAAACUCAAAGGAAUUGACGG